rnacentral:misc_RNA from 1 species
UUAAGUUCAGCGGGUAGUCCUACCUGAUUUGAGAUCAAACGUUCGAAAAGCUGUCUUCACUGAGGAGAGACAUUUAUGAGCUCCAGCGAACCUCCAUCACUGAAGGUUAUCUGGUAGAAAACCACAAGCGUAGAUAGUUAUCACACCUGUGAUGCCACCAAACACUGGCAAGCUGAUCCGUUUGAGAGGAGCUGACCGCA